AACGAACGCUGGCGGCAGGCUUAACACAUGCAAGUCGAGCGCCCCGCAAGGGGAGCGGCAGACGGGUGAGUAACGCGUGGGAACGUACCCUUUGCUACGGAUUAGCUCCGGGAAACUGGAAUUAAUACCGUAUGUGCCCUACGGGGGAAAGAUUUAUCGGCAAAGGAUCGGCCCGCGUUGGAUUAGCUAGUUGGUGGGGUAAUGGCCUACCAAGGCGAAGAUCCAUAGCUGGUCUGAGAGGAUGAUCAGCCACAUUGGGACUGAGACACGGCCCAAACUCCUACGGGAGGCAGCAGUGGGGAAUAUUGGACAAUGGGCGCAAGCCUGAUCCAGCCAUGCCGCGUGAGUGAUGAAGGCCUUAGGGUUGUAAAGCUCUUUCACCGGAGAAGAUAAUGACGGUAUCCGGAGAAGAAGCCCCGGCUAACUUCGUGCCAGCCGCCGCGGUAAAAC
rnacentral:rRNA from 1 species